GAAAGAUAAAUAAGGAUAUUUUCAUUUGAUUCUACUUGAUUCUCCUUGAAUCAUUGAUCAUGAUUUCAUUAAUUAGAAAUCUAACUGCUGCAAUACUGAUGAAAGAGUGUAAACAAAUAAUUAUAUCGUGAUCUGGCGUGUGGAAUCAUGUUCAAAACAUCAGUGACUAGUCACUAACAUUAGUGGUUAGUCACUUACAUUAUAAAUGGGAAAGGCAUUCCAAAAUCAAGGAAUCCUGUCCAGAAACAUCUUUCAGUCCCAGCAGCUGAUGAUCUAGGUGUCUGAUUGAAGAUUCCCCCAAGGAUGGAUUUGGUGGCCCAUAUGAAAAGGAGACAGUCAUGAAGAUGGACAGAGCAUGCUGGCUGGUUCUGUUUUGAACUUCCUAGUUUCUCCUUUAUUUCAUGGUUUAUUAUGAUUCUAUCACAUUUGUGGGACAUUACUGUGGCACUGAACACUCAAUGCUAGUGUUAAAUUUCCUGGUUUCUUCAUACUUGUGUAAAUGAAUUGAAGUCCUCAGACUUAUUGAAUGGAAGUACACUCAUUGGUCCCUUCAUAAUCUAUGUAGAGCCCUGUCACUCUCCCUGUGACAGUCAAGUACUGUGUGCUACUACUACUUUUCAGUAAAAGAUAGGCAGAGUGAGUAGUUAAAAAUAACUUAUUUCUUGCAGAAGUCUGAGAAAGAGAGAGGCCUUGGCAUGGGUUAAAACAACAUGCAAACAUUAAUAUUGGCAAGUUAAUCAUAUACAAUCUGGUUUCUCAGUAACUGUGAGACGUACAGCAAUAGCAAGCAUUUGAGAGAGCAGCUCUUGGAUUUAGCAUGUUGGUUUUGUAGAACCUGGGAGAAUGAAUGCUUGGAAUUGAAAGAUUCCUUCAGGACUGGACUUUCCUGACACACAGAAGACAAAUAGAAAAUAGGACCAGAAGGAGCAGCACAAGUACCGUAAUCCAAGAACUCUUGCUACAGCUUUUCCUAGUGCAAGAAACAUCGAGGAGGUCACAUUUACAAAGCCACGCAUCUUCUUAGGUGAGAUCUCUCCUGCAUACUGAACAUGGGCAUUCAUAUAUAUUCCUAAAAAGAAGACAAGGGAGAACUGAAGUUACAGAAAAUGAGAGUCCCUUUUCAUUUCACCUGCUCCACAGUAAGUACUGGGAAAACGUACAUCCUACUUAGCUAGCCCAUCUGAUAUCUUCCUCAGUAAGAGCUCUUGAAAGCAAAGGAGAGCUCAUCAUCAUAAUGUCCCUGCCCUCUGAACGCACUGCACUUUGCAAUAGGCUUGAGCAGUCUGCUGCCUCAACAUGAGAUGUGAUCUUCUUACCUUUUCCCAAUCUGUUCCUUGUUCCACUGGGGUUACUGUGCAUGCCUGGGUACUCCUAGCAGGAAGAUUUCUGUAUCCACCCCUAAGAAUUCACAUUAACAUGGAAUAGUGGGGAGUCCUACCAGAACAGAUGCCUUCGAGGAAGCGUCCAAUCAGGAUCAUCUCAAAGGAUUUGGCUCUCCUACUGAAGCCUGUGUUCAAUGUGGCUAUUAUUAGGACCACAUCAAUGAUUAGCAGACAUUUCUUCCUACAACAGCAAAAACAUGUUAGUAUGAUCCACAUUUUCUUCUUCAUCAUUAACUAAUUUCUGCCUGUUCUUUUCUUGAUUUAUAGACUAAGUCAUGUUCAUUUUAAACUCCAUUGCUUAUUGGGCAACGAUAUCUGAUUAUGAAAAGGCAUGAUGUUCUCCCACAAGGGUGGAAAGGGAGAAGUUAGGCUUCUCUUUUCUAUGCUAGUAUCAUGUGAACACACUAUGAGACUGAAAGAAAUUCCUGCAAGGCAGAGACUGAUAAAGAAUGGUCUUCUUCACUUCUUUCCUUCCGGUCAGAACUCCCAUCCUGAACACUGCAGUUGUCACCUGAACUAGGCACAGCCAGCCUUAUGGAGACCUAGAUUCAUUGUCCACUUUCACCCAGAGAGUUUUGGCCUUGUUCUUUAUGGUCACACUUGAAAAGAUGGUUCUGAAUGUGGUUUGACAGACUUCUACUUGCCUUUGAUGAAACUGUGACUGUUCUUACAGAUGAAUGAACCUGCAUGUUUUGUAAGAGCUGCAAUCAAAGAGUUGUCAAGCUCCCUAAGCAUUAUUGCUCAGUAAAGUCAUUGCAGAGAAUGAUUCCUCACUAACAUUUCAGCAAAAAUAUAGGAAUUAUACGGCACAAAACCCAGUGAAAAUGGGAUCAGAAACAGUCACAUGUUCUCAUCUCUCUUGUGUACCCAGGUUUAGAUACACAUGCUGAGCAGAGCUAACGCUGCACCGAGAGGGGGCAGUGACAAUUCUGGCAAUCACUGUGCUAGGUGAGUGAGGUUUAAUUGCCUCCCUUGUGGCAGCAUUAGUGAAAUGCUGGGAGAUAUACUUACUUUCCAUAUUUUGCAGCCAGGUACCCACUACACAGAGACCCUAUCAUUCCCCCUACACAGUAUGUAGACACAAUGAAGGACCAAAAUAAUGUGAGAGUCUCUUGAUGCAGCGGUGAACCGUAUCGCUCCAGCCAGGUUUCAUUGAUAAACUUCUGAAUGUACUGGGACAGAAAAAAAAAGUUUAUUCCUCUGAGACACUAAUCACAGUGAUUCUUCUUUAUGUUUACAACUUAAAAAUAAAA